ensembl:lncRNA
CCUAGACAGGUGAGUGUGUGGUGGUUGGUGAUUGGCAUAGGCUUUCAUAGGGUAACAAACAUCUGCCUUGUUGACUCUUCCUGGGCUGGUUAGUGAUGCUAUUUGGUCCUACCCCUACCACUUUUUUCACUUUGUUAUUUUCUCCUCAUGUCUCAGAGUCAAUGUUUUCUAACAUUUCUAGUCUCUCCAAGACCCCACCUUACAUUGUUAAGGCUAACUUCUGUUCUUUUCUCUUCUUCCUAAGAGAGACCUGUGAGUGGGAUGGAAAUGGCAUUGAACUAGCAUCAGAAAUGGAUUCUAGGGGCCGGCCCAGUGGCGCAGCGGUUAAGUUUGCACGUUCUGCUUCGGCGGCCCAGGGUUCACCGGUUCAGCUCCCGGGUGUGGACAUGGCACCCACUUGGCAAGCCAUGCUAUGUUUCAAACUUCCCUGCCCAAAGGAAACUCCAAGACUUUGUUCCUCAAGCAGCUGCCUGCAUCGGAAUUCCACGGACAGGAGCUGCCAAGUUCAGCCUCACUGGGCAAGGCCGGUCAGCCCCAAUAGGUGGGACAGCUGGCAGAAACUCUGCCUCAUUCCAACACUGGCUGGCUGUUGGGGCAAGAGUUGGCACAAAGGUUAACAUGUGAAAUGAAGAAUUCAGGAAAAAGCACGAUGCAUCUUGGUACUGGUGUCCUGAGGCUUUGCAAAUCUGGAUGGUGAGUGUAUGUUUCAGCUAUUAUGUCAGUGUGGGGAAAAUGGAUGGAAACAACAGCUCCAUCUCCUGCUGCAUGCCCAAUCUCGCUGCCCCCCAGCAGAGGAGACUGCGCAAUCCAGCACAACUCAAACAACCAGCGAGGGCCUGGCACCGGGCUCCUGGGGACCGCCGGGCGGGCUGAAUUGUUCAGGGCUGGCGGCGGGGCUGAGUGACUCACCCCACAGGAGAGGUGCCCACGUUAACCCAGCGACUCCAUUCCAGGCAGCGCUUGUUCCCCAGCGCCGGAGGCCACGGAGGUUUGGGGCCAAGGAGUGACAAGACCUGGCUUCAGUUUACAAAGAUCAUUCUGGCUGCUGCCUAGAGAAUGGAAGGCUGGCAGGGAGAGCCCACCGGGAGGCCACUGCAGCAGGCCAGGGAGAGAGAGGUGAGAACGGGGGACUAGCUUUGGAGACAGCAAGAAGCAAUGGAUUUGAAAGCUGCUGAUGUGUUUUGAAAAUGGAACUGACGGGAUUUGACACCAGAAUGGAGGUGGGUGUGAGGAAUGAGGAGGCAAGGGGGAUUCCGAGAUUUGCCAACUGAGCAUCUAAGUCGAUGGAGCUGGUGAGGGGAAGUUACGAAUUCUGUUUGGGACAUGUGAAGUUUGAGGUGACCAUUAGGCACCCUGGUGGAGAUGUUGCUGUGCACUCGGAGAUGUGAGGCCGUGACUCUGGACUCGGGGUGGGGGUCGGGAGCUGGAGACACGCAUUUCCUUGGCUUGGAGAUGGAACUGACAGCUGUGGGAGAGAUGCAACCCCUGGAGAAACUUAAAAUGGAGGGCAAGGGGAGUGAGCACGGAGCCCUGGGCCUCACCAUGGAGAGGUUUGGAAGAGGAGGCUGAACCAGCCGGGAGACUCCGAAAGAGGGGCCAGCGAGAAGCCAAGAAUGAAAAGGGUUUAGAGGGAGGGCAGACUGCCAGCCACGCAGUAUCUACAUCUGAAAGGCAGCCAUUCUGCUGGAAGAAAUGACAGUCGGGUGGCCCCCGGCUGGCCUGACUUCCCACACAGCCUGUUCCUUAGAGUCUUGAAAGCCAGCAAAACUCUUUCUUUGCAGAAAUACUGCCUGGGUUGCAAGGAGCUGUGGCCAGACCAGUCACGAGCGAUUCCAGACAGUUUGGGAACAUGGAUUCCACGCCCAGCACUCCAUCUUAUGAGAAACAGAUGACUCCUUUUUCUGAAAUGGCGAGUGCCUCCAGAGACCCAUCCCGGCCCUUCUUUGUUCCAAAGCAAACACUUGCCUUGGCUUCUGUUCUCACGCCCGGACGCGCUGUACGGGAGCGGAGCUCCUGAGCCAAGGACCUGAGACUUGAAUGGAAGUCAACAAACCUGUACGGAAGCUGGGACCAUGGAGAGGCGGGACUGGUUUCGUAACAAACGUUCUAGACUUACACAUCCAAAUGAGUGUUGUCCCCGUCAAAACAGUCCCCUCGGUAGGCCAUCGAUUUACUUCAAGGGUGAUAAUUAUAACAAGGUAUCAACAUUUGUGGAGCAUUUGGCAAAUGUUAACCUUGGGCUAUGAGCUCUAUAAGAGUUCCCUAUGUGACCCUCACAGCCCCGUUAACAGACGGGGAAACUGAGGUUCAGAGAGAUCAAGUCAUGGGUCCGAAGUCCUCCACUCCAAGGUUCGAGUGACUUUCAG